rnacentral:rRNA from 1 species
AUUGAACGCUGGCGGCAUGCCUUACACAUGCAAGUCGAACGGCAGCACGGGAGUAAUCCUGGUGGCGAGUGGCGAACGGGUGAGUAAUAUAUCGGAACGUGCCCAGUCGUGGGGGAUAACGCAGCGAAAGCUGUGCUAAUACCGCAUACGAUCUAAGGAUGAAAGCGGGGGAUCGCAAGACCUCGCGCGAUUGGAGCGGCCGAUAUCAGAUUAGCUAGUUGGUGGGGUAAAGGCCCACCAAGGCGACGAUCUGUAGCUGGUCUGAGAGGACGACCAGCCAAACUGGAACUGAGACACGGUCCAGACUCCUACGGGAGGCAGCAGUGGGGAAUUUUGGACAAUGGGCGCAAGCCUGAUCCAGCAAUGCCGCGUGCAGGAUGAAGGCCUUCGGGUUGUAAACUGCUUUUGUACGGAGCGAAACGGCCCUUUCUAAUACAGGGGGCUAAUGACGGUACCGUAAGAAUAAGCACCGGCUAACUACGUGCCAGCCGCCGCAGUAACAC